rnacentral:tRNA from 1 species
GCCUGGCUAGCUCAGUCAGUAGAGCGUGAGACUCUUGAUCUUGAGGUUGUAAGUUUGAGCCCCACAUUGGGUG